AAUGGCAUCUUCGGGAACCCCUCGGCCACAUAAAAAGUCACUUAAAUCUGACAUGUUCCCCAAGAUUGUUGGACGUUCCCCUGCACAACUCACAUCUCAGGUGAUGAAGCUGGUUGCACCCAGAUGCUUCCAAGUGCUCACCUGCAUUAAAGUCAGAAUUCUGAGAUUAAAGUCAGCAUUCUGAGAAAAAAGUCAGAAUUCUGAGAUUAAAGUCAGCAUUCUGAAAUUUAAGUCAGAACUCUGAGAAAAAAGUCAGAAUUCUGAGAUUAAAGUAAGCAUUCUGAGAUUAAAGUCAGAAUUCUGAGAAAAAAGUCAGUAUUCUGAGAUUAAAGUCAGAACUCUGAGAUUAAAGUCCGAAUUUGUAUUUUUUUUCUUUAGUGGCCCUAAUACUGUUCUGUACAAUAUACCUCCUGACCACACCCCUGCUUAACCCCCUCCACUCAUCCCCACACUUGGCACUGCCCACUUUGCUGGCAUUUUUCAAAACUCCAAGUUAUUCUUUUACAUGGGGUUUAGUUCCACUUUAAUAUUGCUUUAUUUUUGUUUGUCAAAGGUCAUAAAAGGAACUCUGCCAUAAAUUAUUCCAUGAACUUUAUGUUCCUUAAAUACCCCCACUCAGCAAUCAGGAGAUGGUUAACACCUGUCCACUCGCACCCAGGUGCAACAGUGCUCUCUAUGGAUCAAUCAAAGUUAGUAGCAGGCAGGAAAAGCACAAACAUAAAUUCCCAGACCCCGAUAACCCUCUGCUGUUUCUGCUUUUUCAUCUGUUGGUUUUUCAUCCAGUUGGCUACCCACAUGUAUGCACAUCACUGCCACCUACUAGACUGGUCUUGCUAUUUCCCGUACAUUUUUCUGAGUUCUGAGCUGUCAGCUGGAGACUGAACCAAACAUGGAUUGUUCAGCGGUUUGAAUGCUUUAGGCUGAGGCAGGAUCCAACACUUUGAGCCAGAGCUGAAGGUUGCAAGAGCAUGAUACCAGGAUUGGAGGAUUCCUAAGGAAGGAGCACAAAAAAGCAGGUGAUGGAAAUGCGGCACACCUGUUACCCUCCACACCAGAGGAUCUUGGCGGCAUCUAGUGGUUGCAGACCUGUUUGAUCCAGCUUCCAGUUCUGGUGUUAAGCAGACUCCUGACCUCUGGAUCAAAGUACCUUCGAUGCUCCUGGAUUUUCAAGAUUCAAGUCUCAAGUUUCCUUCUCGGAUUACUCCUGGCUGGCACCUUCAGGAUCGACAACAAACCGCCUAAGUAAGCAGCAAAACCCUGUCCACCCUCCAACGUGCUCUCAGGCAAGCUUCUCGGAGGAUUCUUCAUCUCUCCAGGACCAAGCCAUCUGGAUAAACGAAUUACGCCAUGUUGCCAGUUUCCUGGUCCCAGAUCAUUACACCUUCCUGUGUAAAAAUAAAUAUUUCAAAUUAU